UCAGCUGCAAUCACAUCUUUCUUGAAUUGAACAAAAAUAAAAGAUUGAGGGGAAAAGAAAUAUGCUAAGUCAUUUUCGGUGGUUCUCUGAGGCACAACUCACUCUGCUCCUCCUUUGUUCUUCACUUCUUGCCAUGAAAACCAAGCUUAAAAGCUCCCAAUAUGAUCAAAUAGGGCUGCUCUCAAAGCCAUGCAAACACUUUUUGAAGAAUGGAAAAUCAAAAGUGCAAGAAAAGAGAAAAGGGAGAAGAGAUUA
rnacentral:lncRNA from 1 species